UGGGCCGAUGCGUGUGUUGCCGGCUUAUGCACCCGCGUCUGCCCUAUAGUGCUGAUGGGUGGACAGAAGUUUCUCUGGUCCCAUUCGUCGGUGGCCCUGGCUGCGCCUCUCGUCGCGGUCGGGAUUCGCCCGUGCGCUGCGCUCGCUCUACGGAACGUGCAAAAGGGUCAAAACCCUAGCCGCCAGCAGUUCUCGUCAAGCUCGCGCCCCCUCUGCCUCGUCUCCUCCCUGCUCCCUCCUCUCCCAUGACGCCGCCCUCGAGCCCGCGCCGCCUCCACCUCGUCUCCUCCCUUCUCCCUCCUCUACAACGCUGCCGCCCUCGAUGCGCCGUAAGGGACGCCGUUGACACGUCGGGGAUACGCAGCGGCGGAGCUCAGCCGAGCACAGCAGAAACCCACUCCUAACCCUAUUUGCUCGAUUGACAAGAGCAGGGCAACGGAUUGGAUCGAGGGCGCCCUGGCCUCACUGCCGCUGCACCUGGAUUCUCUAGCCGCUGCGUGGAGUCGCCCUGGCCACCGCGUCGAGUCACCUUCGUCGCCGCCGCGAGUCAGCUCCACUGUUGCCGCCAGGAAUCCCUUCCUGACAAGGUAACAUCCUCCAAAUCCCUGCUCUCCAUGGUCCUACUGCCCUGCUUGAUGUGUGUGUGGCUUCUAACUGGAGAGGGUCUCCGCCGGUGUCGGCCUGCACCGGUGAGGUCGGGCGCGACCUGGCUUCCAGGGCGGCUUGACUACAGUCUACAGGUGACCACGUCCCUUUUCUCCCCUUCUCUCGUAUGUAUCUCUCUAUGUUGUUUCUUAUCCUUCCUCACACGAAGAAACACACAGAGCAGUAAAAAAUGGGAGGAUUUGGGAGCUGCUCCGUUUUGGAUAUGGGGGCUGCACGGGCUUGGAGCAGCAAGCCAUGGCAACGAAGGUGAAUAAAACACAUACUUGUACUGUAAAUAAGGUUUUUUCAUAGUGACACCGACAAAGCUUAUGCAUGAGAUAGCGCAUCAUUGAAUUUUGUUAUUCAGUUUUGUAGCAUUUAUGCCAUAGCAAGGUGCAGGAUAAAUGCCCCUCUUGACCUAUUCUAUUUUGGAAUAAGGUUGCGCCAGAUUUUAUUCAAAUGAACAUUGUAAACUAUGUACUGUCAUGUUCUAGAUAUGUCGAAAUUUCAGACCAAACAAGCUUCCUACUUCUCCCCUUCAUGAUCUCUUCAUUUUUUUCUGAAUAUCAUUUAGUUUCCAUUUGUAUUUUUGUGAUUGGUAGAUAAAAGCUUGCGCAGUUGCACUUGGCGUUUAUGUUACUAUAUAUUCAACUAAUUGUACAUGAACCAUCUUAAUAGAUCCAUUAUUUAUCUGUCUCCCUGUACUUAAGGCCUAUGUUGUAAGGUUCAGUGGUCAAUUGGAGUUUUAAUUUCCUAGCUGUAGCUCUAAAUAAGGUUUCCUUUGUUAUGCAGUAUAUCCAUAUUAUAAUUAGAGGAGAGGAGUUGUACUGCCUUGCACAUAAUGCAUUUUAAUUCCUUAUUUCUCACAUCCCGAAAGUCACAUUACAUCUAUGAACCAGAAGAACUAGAGGAAAGUUCCUAGGGAUUUGAUUGAUGGAGGCAUCACUAUUUGGAGCUGGAUUAUCCAUUUUUGCAGCAUCAGCAAUGUUGUUUUUGUUUGGAAUGGCCAGUUCUCAAUUUCUAAAUCGGCUAUACUAUACUUCUUGUCAGGUUACAUUAUCUUGCUUGGUUUCAGUCUAUAUGUAGCACAAAAAUAGGUGACGUGGUUGGUUUGUAUGUUACACUAAGGAACACCACCAUAAGGAAAAGGGCAUGGCACUUUGUUUAUAUUUGGUCUGUUCCUAUUCGGUUUGCUGUAGUACUUGCUACACCAUUUCAAGUUUCUUACUGUUUGCUUCUUGCUGUUUCAUUGUAUUCAGGUAUGAUAUAUUUUUCAACUAUACAAGCACUUGGGUAAGUCAGGAAAACUGAACCAACGACAAACAUUUUACUGGUGAUGUUUUUUAUCUGAGAUGUGAAAGAUGCAUCUUGUCCCCUGAUAUAUUGGCUUAAUCUCUUGAUUUUUUCCCUGACAUGCUAAUAUAGAGCCAGAUAUGCAUGAUUCAUCAUACACAUUACAGCCAAUUAUCCAUUGGUUCUUUUGUCCAUAGAGGUGAUUUUGUUUGGACCAUUAGUCUAGGUAGUGACAUUUUGAUCGAUAAGGCACAAGUUUAUUUUCUUUUUCACUCGGGCUACACUAAAGUAAGCAUCACCGUUAGUGAAAAGAAGGCAUACAAAUCAUGAAGUCUUUGCCUUGGCUAUGUGCCUCGUUUAGUUGUCACUUAUUUAUUUCUGGGAAGUUAUUAAAUUCUCAUCGAGCUUUCCUUAUGCUUUACAUUGCUAAAGAAGAAAUUUAAAUACGCAAUAUUUUUGAUAUCCGAGGAGGUGAGAGGAGAUGAAAAAGGGUUGUAAUGUGUAAGGUUCUACUUUGGCGCGUCUCUGGCCAAUGAUGGCUGGAUCCAUCUGACGCUCUUCCAAGCAGAGCAGUGCAGAUUUGCUGACUAGUACAACAUCUAAACCUUGGCUACUCUAGCUUCUUUUUACAUCUCUUAGUAUCAACAAAUAAGUUGGUUACAGUAUAUACUUGAAGAUUGCAUCAGGCACAAAAUGCUUGGCUAAUCAACCGGUUAAUUGAGUUGUGCCUACGAAGGAUCAGUAGAAUAGUUGGUUUCUUCUAAAAUAAAUGAGGAUUAGUUUGGUUGCCAUGUAACGGUAAGGCCAGAAUGGUGGUACUGAAAAGUGGUUCUGUAAUGGUCAUAUGAGUUGUGCAGUUGGAACUUGAUUCUUUUUAAGUUGGAGUGGCUAGGUUGUUUAUAUGUAUUGCAUUAUUUUUCUACGGCGUGCUGUUCUUUCUAAUGAUUUUUUUAAAAGUUUAGUAUUUAAGUUUACGGCAUUAUUCUGCGGCAUAUUGUUCUUUCUACAACAUACUGUUAAUAUCUUAUUCUUUUCAACAUUACACGGUUAAAACCUUCUGUAUAAGAUCUUGCGCUUUCAACAUCUGCUCAUGGCGCUGUGCGUAUUCUGCUAUGAACUGUUUACAUUAGAGAGUUGUGGUACCUUCAUUUGUAUGGUUCCUUUUAGCUGAUGUUGGUUGCUCAUACUGACAAAAUGUGUGUUAACAAAUGAUUGCAGAGCAGCAGAGAAACGUGUUUCUACGAAUGUGCCAAAACUGAUGGAUUUAACUACAGGUAUUGCACUAUUAUUCUACAGGUAUCGUUGUAUUGCAUUAUCCAACUGUAAGUCUGUUCUAAACUCUAAGCCCGAUGUAAAUGUGAUGGAAGAUUGGGCCAUUUAAUUUGAACCAAAAAGGGUGAUAUGCUCUCAGUUGGUUGAAUCUGUCCAGACCUGAAAAUUAGAUAUACUUUGAAAGCUUGAUGUAUGAGUAGGAGAUAGUUGAUAAAGGUGUACUCUUGUAGGAGAUUAUUACCUGCUUCUAUGUGGUGAACAAAUGAGUAAGCAGUUUAGUUGAUAAAGGUGUAGGCAACACAGCAUUUUUGUUCCAUUUUUUGGUUUGUAAGUCAAGGAUGUUUAGCCUUUGCUGAAUAUGUUAAUUGUGAAACAGUUUUGAUGCAAUUUUUGAACCGUUCAGUCUGUUUUGUUUGUGCAGUUCAUGGUACCAUAUCUGCAGGCUACAUCUUGUGUAGAUUUGGCUACCACAUUAUAUGAUGUUGUUUCACUUUGCUCAGUCAAGGUUUCAGUAAAAAAAUGAAUUGAACAUAUUUUUGUAGACAUACAAAAACGGUCUGCAUUUUUUACAUCACCCUGACAUCCAAUUCAAACUAUAUUUUCUGCCUAGACUGUUGCAUACCUAUGAGAUCAUGGGAUAACUCAGACAUGAGCCGGUGUCCAGUGUGCAGUGAGGGUGAGUAAUGUGGCAUCAGCCUAUUCUGGACCUGUGUAUUAUACUCCUUCCGAUCAAAAUUAAGUGUCGUUGUUUUAGUUCAAAAACCACGACACUUAUUUUGGAUCGGAGGGAGAGCAUUUAAGAGAUUCCUUGCAUACACAUGAUUCAGAAAAGUACAGUGUGGGAUGCCAUUAUAAACUCAUGAAGUCUGAUCCUGGUAGUGACAUGAUUUACUCUGUUUGAUCAAAUAGGUCGAAGCCAAAGCUGUUCUUAUUGAAUCUCAUGAUGCCCCUGAUGCUUGCUGCUGUAAGCAAGAAAAUUGAGUACAAGUUUCAAUGUCAACCUGAGUUUUCAUUGUGGAUGUUUGAGAGUCAACCUGAAUUUUGAAAAGAACUUUUAGGAUGAUUAGCUAUAGUACUGUGACAAAUAAUCAGGAAAGAUAAUUUUGUAGGGUGAUCAUUGUCUUUCAUAAUAAUAUUAUAGCCGUCGGCCAAACAAUGAAGGUUGCACUACAACUACUCGACUACAAGUUUUAUGUGGAGUUUCUCUGUACAGCUUGCACGAACUCAGUGAGAUCAGGAAUCAUAAUUGCUCACAUUUUUUUCUCUUGAAACGGAUGUGUCAUCCCUGCAUUUUUUUUCUCGGAAUCAAGGAUGUUUCAAACAUUGUGUGAGCUCACCUUCAAAAUGUGGGAACAGACCAUGCCCAUAUAUUAUCAAACAAACCAAACAGACAUGUGUAUACUGAACUGUCUUUAGAGACUUAAAUUUCCAUAGAAUGGUUUGCUGUA